GAUGAACGCUGGCGGCGUGCCUAAUACAUGCAAGUCGAGCGAACGGACGAGAAGCUUGCUUCUCUGAUGUUAGCGGCGGACGGGUGAGUAACACGUGGAUAACCUACCUAUAAGACUGGGAUAACUUCGGGAAACCGGAGCUAAUACCGGAUAAUAUUUUGAACCGCAUGGUUCAAAAGUGAAAGACGGUCUUGCUGUCACUUAUAGAUGGAUCCGCGCUGCAUUAGCUAGUUGGUAAGGUAACGGCUUACCAAGGCAACGAUGCAUAGCCGACCUGAGAGGGUGAUCGGCCACACUGGAACUGAGACACGGUCCAGACUCCUACGGGAGGCAGCAGUAGGGAAUCUUGCACAAUGGGCGAAAGCCUGACGGAGCAACGCCGCGUGAGUGAUGAAGGUCUUCGGAUCGUAAAACUCUGUUAUUAGGGAAGAACAUAUGUGUAAGUAACUGUGCACAUCUUGACGGUACCUAAUCAGAAAGCCACGGCUAACUACGUG
rnacentral:rRNA from 1 species